rnacentral:lncRNA from 1 species
UUAUUUCAAGGUCAAAUAGAAGAACUGCACUCACAUUAACUCAGAAGCAAGAUGUGUUUUUUUCUGAAGUUCAGUCAUAUAUGAGUAUUUGACAUAAAAUUCAUAAAGAUGAAACUGGUGAGAUUUUCAAAACUACAUAAAUGCCUUUAAUCUGCAGCUUCAGAAAUAUAUAUUCAAGUUGCUGUCUCCAGGGUACCAGCUAUCCUUAUGCAUGCUCUCAUGGCAACGAGUCACUGUCUUUUCCCUGUGCAGCUACGUUCUACAACAUAACAAAACACACCUGAAUAAUCCGUACUCGGAGAGGAGAGUACAGUCAGGGGAAGAAUAUCCUUUCCACUCUAAGAGAAGAGCAGGUCUGCUACAAUCUCAUGAGACUGAAUUUGUACAAAUCUAUCUGGCUGGGUGACAUGUAUCCCAGGGUCCCAAAGGAACUGGCUGAUAUGGUUGCUGAGCUGCUUUCCACCAUAUUUGAAAAGUCAAAGCUGUCAGGUUAAGUUGUCAGUAAAUGGAAAAAGGAAAACAUCGCUCUCACUUUUAAGAAAGGGAGAGAGGAAGAGCUGGGGGAUUACAGGCUGGUGAGCUUCACCUCUGUGUCUGGGAAGAUCAUAAAUCAUGGCAUGAGAUGAGCAGAUGAUCCGAGAUAGCCAGCAUGGCUUCACUGAGGGCUGAUUGUCCGUGACUGAUCUUCUAUGUGGCCUUCUACGAUGGAGAGACAGCAUCAGUGGACAAAGGAAGGGUAAAUGAUGUCAUCAAACCAGACUUGUGCAAGGCCUUUGACGUGGUCCUGCUCCAUACUGUUACUUCUAAAUUGGGAGAACUCACUGAGGGCAAGGAUUUGGGGAUUCUGGUGGAUGAAAAGUUGGACAUGAGUCAGUAGUGUUUUCUUGCACCUCAGAAGGCCAACAGUAUCCUGGGCUGCGUCAAGAGAUGAUCAGCAAGGAGAGGAAUGUGAUUGUUCUUCUCUACUCUGCCCUUGUGAGGCCCCAUCUGAGUACUGCAACCAGGCCUGGGGACCCCAGCACUUAGAAAGACUGAGAUGUUGGAGUGGGUCCAGAGGAGGGGCAUGAAGAUGAUCAGAGGUCUGGAGCACCUGUCAUAUGAAGAAAGUUGAGAGAGCAGUGCUUGUUCAACUUGGAGAAGAAUAGAAGGCUUUGGAAAGACCUCACUGCAGACUUCCAGUGCUUAAAAAGAGCUUAUAAUCAGGAGGUAGAAAGACUUUUUACACAAUCUAAUAGUGAUAGGACAAAGAGGAAUGAUUGUAAACUAAAAGAGGGGAGUUUUAGGUUAGAUGUUAGGGGUAAAUGUUUUACUCAGGAAGUGGUGAGGCAUUGGAACAGGUUACCCAGAGAAGUUGUGGAUGCCAGGUUGGAUGAGAUUCUGUGUAACCUGAUCUAGUUCCUGACUUA